rnacentral:lncRNA from 1 species
UGUUUUGGUAAUCUAAUGGAUAUCUUAGAUCUGUCGAAUAAGGAUGAUUUGGUGAUCUAAUGGAUAUCUGAGAUCUGUCGCAUAAGGAUGUUUUCGUGAUCUAACCUAAGGAUAGAUUGGCACAAUACAGUUAUUUUCACAUAUGUGCACAAUGGAUCCAAAGAUUAGUUUUAAUCUGCGCUAUAAAGGUGAAUCUUUCAACAAUCUCUCAGCUGGACAUCCCUCGUUCUAUAUAUCUCUGACUUCCAAGUUAAAAACU